CCCACCCCAACCCACGCGCGUGCCAACGAUCCUCUGCCUCCUCGCCGCCGGCUUCCACCGGUGGCUCCGCGUGGAGCCCGCCACCACGGGCGGGGCCGCUCUGCUCUCCGACCGGCGCCGUCGCCAGGUGACCUACCACCAUCUCCUCGUCUCUUUCUCGCACGCACUGUAGGGGCGAGUUUUGCACUUGGGCCCUCGCAAAAUUGCAGGUAUUCUGGCGGGGCACCCCGCACCCUACGCCUUUCUUGUUUGUUUGUUUGUUUGUUUGUGAGUGAAGUGCUCUCGUCUAAUUUUGAGAUUUUGGAGUUAUUUUUUUUCUUCAAAGUGACUGAUGCAGAAUUAGAUGUAUUAGAGUUCUGGGGAUUAUGGACACAUUUUUAGUUAGGCUGGCUAGAUCACCGCUGGAUAUGUUUUGGAUGACGAGAAUCGCAGUAUCUACUAUUGCUUUAGUACACGUCUCAAGAAGUCAACAGUAAAAUCCAAUAGUCUUGCUGCUGUUCAUUUAUUGACUCAUGGUAUUUCAGAACUUAAGUUGAAAAAGUUUUACUGAUUACUAGUUAGGCAUUACUCCCUCCAUCCCAUUUUGAUCAUCACCUAAGCAAAGGGAGCAUAGAUCAAGGACAAUAAAACAUUCAUCAUUCUGUAAUUGAUUCUCAUCGGUUAAGGUGCUACGUUUUUUUGUGUUCCAUGGAUUACAUCAAGUUUUAAAUAUUGCAUGUAGUUGGACCAACAGAAAUUAAUCUUGGUGGGUUGCACGUAGUGCAUUAAGUGAUGCUCAUUUAGUCUUGACACAAAUAAACAAGUGAUGAUCAAAUUGGGAUAAAGAGAGUACAAGAUACACCUUGAUAGUCCUUGAAAUAUGAAGUAGUUGCAUCGGACUACACCAAUUACGAUACAAUAGAGCACAAACACCAAGAGGAACAAUAUACUCCUAUUAUUGUGUAGCACAAGUCGUCAAGUCUAGGGAAGUAAUGAAUCAGGGCUGUUAUUAACAUGCUCAUUUUCUUCCUAUUAAAAGAGAUGAAUGGAUGUACAAUUUCAGGUUAAAAAUCCUUGCAGUAGAAACCUACACAACUGCUUUCGGCCACAUGCUUUCAUGAUUUUUUGCAUGACUGCAUGCAUUAAGGCUGCCUUGCUUAUUUGUCAUACAAUAUCAGGCAUUUACAUCAUGUCAGUAACUAUUAAACAAAUUGAAGUGUCAAAAUGUCAUUCCUCUUCAUAUCUUCAGUUCUGAAUCUUGAUGUGCAUCCAUUACUUAUGCCAGAGUUCUAACUUGUCCAGUUAGGUUGUUAUGGCGUUUUCUUCUCUACAUCUCAAGAAGGAAUAGAUGGUCGCCAUCGCGGAUAACACUGACAUCAUCUAUUUCAGCAUAAUCUCUACUGACCACCUUUCUAGGAUGAAAACCUUGAAACUUCUGACCUGCCAUGCGAAGAAUAUAUAUGAUGAGAGUAAAUACAUACUACCGUAGCUGAUAUACAGUAAAUUGCAGAUUUACAUCUGCUAUCCACUCAGUAAAUUGCAUAGGCGAAACACAGUUAAAAUAGGUAGUUUAAAACUUAAUUUUACUUACUGCCAAUUUUGAACAGUUCCUCCAAUGAUGUAGGCAGCUUGAUAAGCUUUCCAUUUUGCGCAGCAGAGACUGUUGAGUUAUGACGAUAUUUGUGAAUUGUAACUCUUUUGUUUGCUUCUUUUAUGUAGUACUCAUCUGGAAUUCUUCUUGUUAUGUUUUCUUCUGUUUUAUGUGGAGACCCUGUCUGCACUGUUGCAUUCAUUGUUCGCUGACUGUAUGUGGAGCUGCUAUCUUCAGAGUUUAUCUGGAUACAGUGCUCUUCCGUUCUUUUUUUGAUCUCACAGUUUGUGUGAACUUCAUCAUGGUUCUCUUCUUUAUCUGUCAUACUGCUAUUUUCGUUUUCUGAUGCCGAAGAUCGGGUUGCUUCUCCAAGUAACUGUCUGGAAUAUCUGUCACCUCCAAAUACUGGAGUGUUGUUACUAGAAUCCCUACUUGUGUGCUCUGUGUAAUGUAGUUGUGACUUUUUCAGCAGCCAUGCUUCUCGAGGAACGUGGAAUAGCUCAUACUUGCUCAAGAAUCUUCGGUCUGGUUGAUUCAUGUCAGGUAAACUUUCUCGUAGCUUCAGCUUCUGUACAUUGGAAUAGAGUUGUUAACUUCUGAUUAGCUGUAAAAAAUGCAGUAUAAUUGUUUGAAAAUAAAAUUGAAGUUAUACCUGAACUAGGUUGUUCAUUAGAAUGUUACUGUCUUCCCUGUUUUCUUCAAUGAUCUCUCUAAGCCUUGUUUUGCUUAUUCUUAAAAGCUGUGAUAGCUCCGCUGUGCGGCAAGUAAAUGGCUGGGGUAUGUUACAUAAAGAACCAACCUCUCCAAACAUUUCUCCCUCUGCAAUUUUCUCAUAUACCUGUUUUCAAACAAUUCAUAAUUUUUGGUAAAUCUGAAUAAAUCUUACUGAUAUCUGGAAUAGAUAUAUACAGAGAAAACCUGUACCUGCUCAUUCCCAUGUAUUGUUGUUAUUAUAUUCUACAUAGAAAAAGCAUUAAGAAAAGCGCAAUUAGCGUACAGAUAAAGCCUUAGUGAAAUUUCAUGUCUGAACUAAAUUGGAGAUAGAAUACUAACCACUGCUCCUGAAACUACUAUGUAAACAUCUGCUUCUCCUUCAUUCUGCAAUAUUAUAUCUUCCUUUGGUGGGAAGUACUCAGCCUGCACUUCCAUGACCUGUUUUGUUCAACAUAUUCAAUUAGUAAAGACUGGAAAGUAUUGCUUUUGUAUGGUACUACGAAAAUAUUGAAUUAUUUCAUGAUUUUACCAGUUCUGCAAUGAAAUUGCCAGAUACUCCAUUGAAGAGAUAGGCUUGCCGGAUGAUCGGAAAGAAUAAGCUGUAUGCUAUGCUUGAGCGGAUUCCUUUUGGUAGACAGUCUAACAUGACCUGCUGGUUGAGUCCCUCUGUCUUGAAUUGUAGGCAGAAGUGAGAUAGCACUUGCUGCUUUAUGUUCUCAGGUAGCUGAUUGCGUGCUGCAAACUCUGAUGCUGCUUGGAUUGAGUCCCUCUGCACAUAUAUUUUUUAAAGGAUCAUCAAUAUAGCAGUACAUAUAUUGGAACAACAAUGCUGGUAGUAGUAACCGUUUUAGUUAAAAUGAUGACUAUGCUAUUUGCAUUCACUUCAGACCUCUUUUAGUAUUCUUGCCCUUGAGUUGAAUGAUAUUUUGUUGAUGUUGUUGUCCCUUAGAAUGGUCAAAUGACGUAGGGAUACAAGAACUUGUACCUUGUGGAAUACUACAAGAACAGGAUUCUAUUCAUUUAUUCCCUUGCUUUGCUCUAUGGUUGAAAACCCGCCUCUGCCAUUUGCACAAGAACUUAAAAGAAUGGUCCAGCAUGACCAUUUUUUUUUGUAAAUGAAACUAUAAUAGUUCUUAUACCCAUUGGAUAUUAUGAAUGUAUGGUGCUUAGUUCUUAGGGUGUUGAUCCCCUGGAUGUCUUAGAUAUAACUAAUUCCUAUGACACAAUUCAUAUAAAUUGUAUAACUGUGUAGAUGCUCUUGAAUAAGCAUGAUUUUAUAUGUAACCAUACAUCCCACCACGCAUAAAACCAAAAUGCUAGUUUGUUCUCAGAUCUUUGACAUCAUUUAUUUGUAUGGCAUCCAUAUGCAGCUUAUUUGUAUUUUUAUGAUCAAAGGGUAGUGUAUCACAUCUGUAAUGGCAUUCCAAAUGCUAAAAUUUUCACUUGUCUGCCAUAAUCUGCUGCAUUCAGCACUAUAUAAAUCUCACUAAAAACUACAUUUCUGAAUGAUCUUUCUGUAGACAGAAGAUUUGCCAUUGACAUUUUUGCUGGUAAGUAGAGAAACUUACAAAUUUCCUGGUGCGGCUGGUCCCAUGGACAACUAGGUUGGUCAUGUUGCCAAUGAGAUAAGCUGUCAAGCCCAGAUUAAACAUCAUAUAGACAAUAUCAAAUAGCAUCUCUGUUGGAUUUUCAGCAUGUAGGUCCCCAUAUCCUGUUGUUGUCAGUGUUGUAAUGGACCAGUAAAGAGCAGUAAUAUAUCUAGUCCAUAAGCUCUCUGAUCUGAAAGUUGACAUCACAGCUCCUAUCCAUGUUUUCUCUGGGUUGGGAUAUCUGUCAGCAAUCAUAUAAUUGAAGCAUCCUGCACAAUGUACUGCGAAGAGGGUCACCUGCAUUUUGGUCAAUACAUAUUUUAUACACAUAAGAACCAGCUUAUUUCUUCCUAUAGGCACAUAACUAGUACUUUGCAAGAUAGAAAAAUUUUUGCACAGAACACAGAAGGUAAGUUUCUUUUGUUCAGAAGGACUUACAGAAAUAAGUUUUGAGCACCUAGUCCAGAAAUAGUUGAAUCGGAUGUCUUUCUCCAGCCUGAUAAAAUAGAAUGAUUAAAUUGUUGCAGUUGUCACUUGUGAUUCGCCAUCAAAUUAUGGAGAACCUGGACAAGAUUUUGAACCUGGCAAAUAGUGAACUGACUCGGUGAAGACGCCACAGCCUGAGC
rnacentral:lncRNA from 1 species